CAGUAGCCGCGGGAAUACGGAGGGGGCUAGCGUUGUUCGGAAUUACUGGGCGUAAAGCGCACGUAGGCGGAUAUUUAAGUCAGGGGUGAAAUCCCAGAGCUCAACUCUGGAACUGCCUUUGAUACUGUCGAUCUGGAGUAUGGAAGAGGUGAGUGGAAUUCCGAGUGUAGAGGUGAAAUUCGUAGAUAUUCGGAGGAACACCAGUGGCGAAGGCGGCUCACUGGUCCAUUACUGACGCUGAGGUGCGAAAGCGUGGGGAGCAAACAGGAUUAGAUACCCGGGUAGUCCCUGUCUCUUAUAC
rnacentral:rRNA from 1 species